GACGAACCGUGCGAACGUUGUUCGGAAUCACUGGGCUUAAAGGGCUCGUAGGCGGGCUAUCAAGUCCGGGGGGAAAUCCUCCAGCUCAACUGGAGAACGGCCUCGGAUACUGAUGGUCUCGAGGGGGAUAGGGGCACACGGAACUGUGGGUGGAGCGGUGAAAUGCGUUGAUAUCCAUAGGAACUCCGGUGGCGAAAGCGGUGUGCUGGAUCCCUUCUGACGCUGAGGCGCGAAAGCCAGGGGAGCGAACGGG
rnacentral:rRNA from 1 species